CUGGACUGGUGGUGGAUUGGUAUGAGCUGGUUCGGGACAGAGAUAGCAGCGGGUGACGUUAGGUGCUUGAGGCAGUGGUGCUUCCAGCUCACCGAGGAGGAUCUCAUCUCAUACUAACUCCAACAUCGUGUUUAGGGCCGCUGACCCUGGACCGGCUCCAUUACUGAUCAGGCUGACCUCCCCUCUCUCUCCUACAUCUUGAGUCAUGACCUGCAGUGUUACUCAGUAGUCGACGUUGCCAACGAUGGUGGAAGCAGGAAUCGGUGGUAGCUUGCCUAGCCUUGCGGUGUUAGAGGGCGAUAGUGACUGCACGGCUUUUGGUGGAUCGUGUAGGUGUUGUUAGGCGUUCCCUUGUGGCAAUGGCAAUAGAGUUCGUUAGAUCCUAGCUUAACAAAGUGGCAUGGUGGAUGGGCGUGGUGAGAAGGUUCAUCAUCGAUGGUGGCACUAAGCAGCUGCAGGAUUGGGCUUUCCUGACACAAAUGCCUGGACAGAAGUGAGCAUGAAGACUUCUAGGUGGCAGUGGCACUAGUAGCUGUCAAAUCGAGGGCUUUCCAAUGAGACAAUAUGGGUGGAGGUAGCCGGGG
rnacentral:lncRNA from 1 species